rnacentral:hammerhead_ribozyme from 1 species
AUCCAACUGACGAGUCCUAAAUAGGACGAAACACGCGUCCUGGAU